AGGUGAGCAGAAACAAAACCACUUUCUGA
rnacentral:piRNA from 1 species